rnacentral:tRNA from 1 species
CCGACUUUAGCUCAGUUGGUAGAGCGGAGGUCUGUAGUUGGAGUAAUAAUCUGAGCUGAAAUCCUUAGGUCGCUGGUUCAAAUCCAGCAGGUCGGA